AAAUUUAACAGCAGCAUCUCAAUCUUCAUCGGCGUUCAUCUUCUGCGACAGUUUUUCUCUCAUCACUGUACUUUCUUCUCUUUGCCUAAUUGUUUUUCUUCUUUUUUGCCGUUGCCGCUCCGUUAAGUAAAAGAACAUAGCCUAUCUUUAUAUAUGACAACUAAAACUUUGU
rnacentral:sRNA from 1 species